rnacentral:rRNA from 1 species
CCUACGGGUGGCUGCAGUGGGGAAUCUUCCGCAAUGGGCGAAAGCCUGACGGAGCGAUGCCGCGUGAGUGAAGAAGGCCUUCGGGUUGUAAAACUCUGUCCUAAGGGAAGAAAGUACUUUAUGUGAAUAAUGUAGAGUACUGACGGUACCUUAGGAGGAAGCCCCGGCUAACUACGUGCCAGCAGCCGCGGUAACACGUAGGGGGCGAGCGUUGUCCGGAAUUACUGGGCGUAAAGCGCGCGUAGGCGGACAUUUAAGUCAGAUGUGAAAACUCUGGGCUCAACCUAGAGCAUGCAUCUGAUACUGGAUGUCUUGAGUGUAGGAGAGGAGAGUGGAAUUCCUAGUGUAGCGGUGAAAUGCGUAGAUAUUAGGAGGAACACCAGUGGCGAAGGCGACUCUCUGGACUAUAACUGACGCUGAGGCGCGAAAGCGUGGGGAGCAAACAGGAUUAGAUACCCGAGUAGUC